rnacentral:rRNA from 1 species
UACGGGGGGGGCAAGCGUUGUUCGGAAUUACUGGGCGUAAAGGGCUCGUAGGCGGCCAUCUAAGUCAGACGUGAAAUCCCUCGGCUUAACCGGGGAACUGCGUCUGAUACUGGAUGGCUUGAGAUUGGGAGAGGGAUGCGGAAUUCCAGGUGUAGCGGUGAAAUGCGUAGAUAUCGGGAGGAACACCAGUGGCGAAGGCGGCUUUCUGGCCUGCUCUUGACGCUGAGGCGCGAAAGCUAGGGUAGCAAACGGG